CUUCUUUCUGCUCCUGUCGCCAUGGCCCCGGCCUCGGCGCUCAAGCGACCCUCUCGCUCCGCCCAGACCCCUGGAUGCCCAGCUGCCGCACCUCCCGUGGCCCCACGCUGUGGCUACGUGUUGUCUGAAGACGCCUGGGGAAACCUUCAGGGCCUCUGUACUGGCCUGUCAUGUGGUCAACCAGAUCUCCUUGAUUGCACGGUCAACCCCGCUCCUGUCUGUCAGGCUCAGGAACCACUUACAAGCUAUGGCAGGUGAUGUUCCAGCAUCCCACAGGGAGGAUUAUGCUGGUGAGCCACAUGGCCAAGCAGGACUAUGGCUUCAACAGCUCUGGGGCCUGCAUGUUCCUGCAUUAGCCCUACUCCAGCAAUGAGGCUGAAGUUACCAGAGUGACAUCAUGGUAUCUGGUGCAAGCUAUAGCAUCCACCUAUUCUUGGAGCACACGUGGUCAGACACUGAUUGGCAUGUGACCAAGUUGAUGGUGGUCAAAACAGAACUCCUUUCAUGCCCACAAGCUUCAGUAUUACUAUGUUCCCUGCCACUUCCGUUGAAGUUUUGCAGGAUUGGGAUGAUCCUUUGGUGUGAACGAAGCCCCAAAGAGGACCACGUGGAGAGUGCCUGACUGUUCCUGUGAUGUCUUCUAGUACAUGAACAGGAAUGAAACCCACUAUGUCCUCCAUGUGAACUACAUGCUGAGCGUGGGUCCAGAUGGGAAACCAUUCUCCUACCCUGCAGAAAUGGUAUAUAGUUUCAAGGAUGUGGGUAAGUACACCAAGUGAGGUGCUGGUCCUGGACUCAUGGAUGGUCUUGGUACCCAACAAGUUACACUGGCUCUGUCCAAACAACAGCUGUGGAAGCCCCUCCCAUGGGAGGGGGGUCCCACUGGGGCUACACAGAAGUAACUCCUCACAAGUGGCUUGUCUGCAUCCUGGGAUUGGAAACCCAGUAUAGAAGCAGCUGUUGGCAGACUCAUGAAGUAAUACAGAGAAUGGGUGGCUGCUCAUACAAUCAGCAGUAAGACUUCACUUAAAUCAUGCCAGGAAUGACAUGAACAGGACUCAACGUACCCCAUACAGUCUUCCCUCCCAGGUGCCACCACCCCUGAAAUAUUAACCUUGGUAGACUUCUCCUGUCAAGGUCACAGUAAGGGUAGCCAGUGGUAUCAAGACCUUGGUAUAAAUCAGACAUGGCCUUCUUCCCAGCAAGGUCAUUAGGUACCCAAUGUAGAGAUAGCAGGGAAAGGAUAUAAAAACAGGAAAGUUCCAGGUGAGUCAUCUUUUGCCCCUUGACUAGGCCUGCCUAUAGGUUUGACAGCUCCAGGAAGUAAGAAAACAGGUAUAUUGUCUUCCUUCCUAUAGCUCUGCUAGGUGUCAUCCUCUUAAGGUCACUAGGAUUCUAGUGUUGAAGGCUUGCUGCCACACAGAUGGCACUGUUCUAUCCUCAAAGCAUUUUCAGGGUGCCAUCUAAUGGGUCUGAAUCCUGGUUCCAUUGCAAACUUUAAGCAAGGAACUCAGCAUUAUCCAAUCCCCAUUUUCUCCAACUACUGGCCCCCUCUAAGGAGGCUGAAGAGUGAAAGCAUGUUGAACACCAAGAUGCUCUCCAAAGAUGGAGUCCUUCUCUUCUGAGCCCCACAGCUCUGCAAGAUGGGUAAAACUCAAGGUGGCAUUAGGCUCUGAGAGGAGCUCCAUCACACAGCUGGCAUAGUAUGGAGCUGGACCAGAGCCCAAAUCCCCUAUCUCCCCACUGUCCUAACCAAAAGCUUACACUUCAGAACCCAAGGCCGUGAACACAGACCUCACACAGCUGUAACCUGAGAAACUGCCAUUGCUGAUCUAGUGCCAGAACCACUUCCCCAUCCCUGGCUUUCCUGCUGACUUCCCACGAGAUAAGACUUUUCUUUAAAAAGGGGGCCUUCUCAGCCACACGCAGUGGAUCACACUGUAAUCUCAGCACUUUGGGAGGCCGAGGCGGGUGGAUCACUUGAGGCCAGGAGUUCGAGAUCAGCCUGGCCAACAUGGUGAAACCCCAUCUCUACUAAAAAUACCAAAAAAAAAAAAAAAAAAAAAAAAAAAAGCAGGGCAUGGUGGCAUGUACCUGUAAUCACAGCUACCCAGGAGGCACAAGAAUUGCUUGAACCCAAGAUGCAGAGGUUGCAGUGAGCCUGUUUGUACCCCUGCACUCCAGCCUGGGUGACACAGUGAAACCCUGUCUCAAAAAAAAAAAAAGGAGCCUUUGGCCAGGCACAGUGGCUCACACCUGUAAUCCCAGCACUUUGGGAGGCUGAGGCGGGUGGAUCACCUGAGGUCAGGAGUUUGAAACCAGCCUGGCCAAUAUGGUGAAACCCUGUCUCUACUAAAAAUACAAAAAUUAGACAGGCUUGGUGGCAUGCGUCUGAAGUCCCAGCUAUUCAGGAGGCUGAGGCGGGAGAGCCUCUUGAACCCUGGAGGUGGAGGUUGCAGUGAGCCGAGAUCACGCAAUUGCACUCCAGCCUGGGCAAUAAGAGUGAAACUGUCUCAAAAAAAAAAAAGAAAAGAAAAGCCUUCUUGGGCUGACCAAGGUGGAUCAUGCCUAUAGUCCCAGCACUUUGGGAGGCCUGGGUGGAAGGAUUGCUUGAGUUCAGAGGUUCAAGACCAGCCUGGGCAACAUAAUGGGACCCCGUCUCUACAAAAAAUUUAAAAAUUACCAUGGCAUGCUGAUACAUGCCUGUAGUCCCAUCUACUCGUGAGGCUGAGGCGGGAGGAUCACUUGAGCCCAGUAGAUGGAGGCUGCAGGUAGCCAUGAUUGUGCCACUGCACUCCAGCCUGGGCAAGAGUGAGACGCUGAAUCAAAAAUAAAAGGCAUCUCACUUAAGGGCCUUCACACUAGGGCUCCAGUGGAAAAGUAAAAGGGCCAAAGGGGAGUGAUGAGAAAUGGAUGCUUGGGAGAGAAUAGGCCUCCAACAAGAUUCUUCAGUCUUGGUAUGCCAAGGCUGGACAAUAAGGAGAAUCGGACCCCAACCUGAGUCCCAUUUACCCAUUGUGUACUUUUCACAGAAAUUCCCUAGGCCAUUGGCACCUGUGACAGUGAGAACCUAUACUUGGCCAUCCCAGUAACUGACCCGCUCUCCUGUUGGGAGCUCUACAUGGGACACUGGCACCUGAGCCGUAGGCCAGGACCCCUUGACAUAGUCCUCAUGACAGAUAACUCCACCCAUCUGCUAUUGGCAGUGCAACUCUUUUCUCCAGGGGCGCUGUAUGAGGGGGUCCCCCGAGGGCUUAAGCUGGUUGACGGGCUAAGGAGGGUGGAGAGAAGUUGUGCAGCCACUGUCCUGGGCCAUCAGUCACAGCGGUGUGUCACUUCAGACACAAGGAAGUGCCUGGAUGGUCUUGGUGCCCAACAAGUUGCAUUGGCUCUGUCCAAACAGCGGCUGUGGAAGCCCCUCCCAGGCCAGGGAUGCGGGCUUGAGCAAUCCCUGUCCAGUGUUCUCGGGGAGCAGAAUGUAUGGUAUCUAAUACAGUCUACAACAGCAUUUGUGAGGAAUGGCCUGUGUUUGGGUGCAUGUCAUGCCAUUAAAAUCCCUAGAACUAGAAAGAAGUGGCUUCCAGAUCCCAGGCCCCCUGGGCGACUCUCAGCAUCCUGGGCCCCACAGGCCUCAGCUGCCAGAUCUGCCCCAAUGGCCAGGACUGCGUGGCAUCUGUUUCUGAUGAAACUGAACCCAGCUGUGGGGUGGGUCCCAGGAUCUCUCCCUCCAGAGGAUUUGCGCCCAGCUUGAGGUGGCCCCAAAGAAAACUGACAUGCUAGAGACUCCAGAAACCUUCUCCAUGGAUUUACCCCAUUGGGAGAGAAAAGGCCUCCAACAAGACUCUUCAGUCUUGCUAUGUCAAGGCUGGACAAUAAGGAGAAUCGGACCCCAACCUGAGUCCCAUUUACCCAUCCUGUACUUUUCACAGGACUUCCCCAGGCCAUUGGCACCUGUGACAGUGAGAACCUAUACUUGGCCACCCCAGUAACUGACCUGCUCUCCUGUUGGAGCUCUACAUGGGACACCAGCUCCCAUGCAUUUAUCCCUUUUCAGACCUCACUGGUGAGAAGCUGGGCUUCUGGGUCCCCAUGCUGCUUCAUCCCACCUCCCAACCCUGUCUUCAGGCCCACUGCUGAUCCCAGUCUAGAACCACAGCACCGCCCCCAUCCUGCAUGAAGAAGGCCUUGUGCAUCUGCCUUGGUGAGAUCUUUCCAGGCUGACUGGUCUGUACUCCCUGGGGAGAUGAUCGAGACCAGCUCACACUGCUGUGUGUCACAUCCAUACCUUCUAUGGGAAAACUAACCCCCCUCGCCUCCUAUGUGAAGUCUCAGGCUUCACAGCCCAUUUCAAAUGCUGUUUCUCCUAUAACCACAUAGCCUGCCAACCACUGGAUCUCCUUUCUGGUUCCUCCCUCUCCCCCCAACUUUUUCCUUUUGAACUCUCAUAAUCAGAGCCAUAACCAUUUUCUGCCUUGCACUAGUUACUUGUCCUUGACUGUCUUUAUUUUCCCUUCUGAGCUGACUUUCUUGAAGGCAGGGCCCCCAACCUGAUCACCAUGCCUCAGAUAGUAUCCAGGUUUUGCCUUCAGCCCCUCAAAUAAUACAUAUAAAAAUGAACAAAUUCCAAUAUUUAUCCACAACCUACUUGAUGGCCUAAAAAUGCAUUUUAAAUGGGUGUGUCUGAGGUAACUUGUGAAAAGCCCUGGGGUCAGGAGCCAAGUCCUACCUCAAGGAGCAGCAUAAAGGCUUAGCCCAGCCUCGUCCAAGGACUGCCAGGUAAAAUAGAGAACAGACUUUGAUCAAAAUAUGGUUGGAAACAGGAUGGUUGUGAGAACUAUGGUUGUGUUCCUAGUGUGUUUCCCUAGUGGGACUGUGGCCAUCUCUUCCAUGAUGGCCACAGACCCUUCCAUUGACAUGUGCAAGGCCACACUGAAGGAUUGCACCUGCAAGCCAACAGAGUCUAGCAGCAACCAAACCUUCUUCUGACUUGACGUCACCAGCCGUGGUACCUCAGUGAGGGUGAGUAAGGCAAAAGGGCCACCUGCUCCUGCCAGGCCUUAGCAUACCAUCUAAGCUUUUUCUUCUCAGUCCUGUGGUAUUGUUCCAUUUUCACACUGCUGAUAAAGACAUACCUGAGACUGGGCAAUUUACAAAAGAAAAAGGGUUAAUGGACUGACAGUUCCACAUGGCUGGGGAGGCCUCAUGAUCAUGUCAGAAGGUGAAAGGCAUGUCUCACAUGGCAGCAGAUGAGAAGAGAAGACUUGUGCAGGGAAACUCCCCUUUAAAAAACCAUCAGAUCUCAUGAGACUUAUUCACUAUCACAAGAAAAGCACAGGAAAGACCUGCCCCCAUGAUUCAAUUACCUCCCACUGGGUUCCUUCUACAACAUGUGGGAAUUGUGAGAGCUACAAUUCAAGAUGACAUUUGGGUGGAGACACAGCCAAACCGUAUCACCCAUGUUCUCCAUAUGCUCUAAAAUCUUGGGUUAUGUAGUUUGAAGGUGACUAUAUUAUAUAUGAAAAGGGAAUCAUGUAUGAGAAGGAACCCUUGCUAUGAAGGGCUGGCCCACAAUUACAAGAUAUCCAGACUACAGGUGAGAUGGCCACUGUAUGAAUGGAAGUCAGCUGUGCCCCUGAGCUUCAUCUCACUGUUGUCCCCACCCCUGUCCUCAGGAAAUUCCAGCUGACUAGGGAAGAGAAUGCCAGUGUAUAGUUUGCAGCAGGAGGAACUCAAAACAUCAGUGACAGUGCCCCAAAAUGCUUCAGUUUCCAUGUUCUCUUUUUCAUUUUUUAGGUCCUAUUUUACUUCCUUACCUAAUACUUAUUAUAUUGGAGGUAUGAUGUAAAUUGGAGUAAUACUGACAGACCUUCUUCUUUGAUAGACUAAGCAGUGUUGCUAGAAACAAAUCAUUGCAUAACUAAAUCAUGAUCCACCAUGCACAUAGCCCACCAACCAAUGGAGAAGACCAGCAGAACAGAUAGUAGGCUAUCUCUUCCAGCCUCAAGCCCCAAUGCUGUCAUUCCUAAGUUGAGACGUUGAAGUCUCUUUGCCUCCCUGGUACAGAGUCUGUUUGCCUUGUCUUGUCCAUGAACCAGAGUUCCUUCAAGUCCUUUCUUGCUCUGCAGUUCUACAAACCAGUGAGCCUGCUCUUGCCUCCAUGCUUGUCCUAGGCUGAUGCUGCUCUGCUACUACUCAGUUAAAGAAACAUUGGCCCAAGAGGACAGGCACAAGGACAGGUGGAAGAAGAAAGCUGUCCUGCCACCAGGAGAUGGCAUGGUGGUAUGGCAGUCCCAGGUCCGAGGUCAAGGAGUGGCUGGGGAACAGAGGGAGAACUUUGAGUAUUUCUGCCUGGGUGCCCUCAGCUUGACAUUCUCUCAUUCAGCAGGGCCUCAGAGAGAGCAGACAGACACUGGAGAUCCAGGCAAGAGUAGCUCAAGCUGCAAAAAAGAGAAUAACCUGCUAGAGGUAGACUUUUACCCUGUCUCCCAGGGUGAGAAGGUCCAAUACCCCUCAUUGGUCAAGAAGCUGGUGAAGUUUGUGGCACCCAGAUUCAAAGAGGUGUAUCUGUACCACCUGACCCAAUCCUGCCUACACUUGGACCCUGACGGGCAUUGUGGUGGCCAGUACUAUCCAGAGGAGAGAGAAGGAGGUAAGAGCAGGCCCCUAGCCACGUGUCCAGUAGCAACACUGAGAAGUUCUGCCCCAAAGGUCCUGCCCAUAAAGUUCUCUGCACUUUCCCCCUCCAUCCCUCCAAACAAACUCACCCUUCUGAAAGCUGCCUCAAGUCCUGACCAGAUGGCACCCUCCUGCAGAAGUCCCUGAACAGCAAGCACUCUGCAUGUCAUGCCUACAUCUCAGCCUGAGGAACUCUUGAAGAGGCCUUUCCUCCAGAGCUGAGUGAGCUCUAAGAGCUCUUUGGCCAAAAACCCCUGGCUCUUGCCCAUCACACUUGCCUAGUGUCUGGCUACGAUAAUUUUCAGGCAUUUUAUGAAACAUUUAACAAGUCUGAUUACCCUUCUAGGAGACAGUCCUAGAAUAGAGGUCAUAUGAACAUAGAUCUUAGUCCUCCUGCCUCAGUGAGUCCCUCACCCCAUACACACCUUGAACUCAGGCCAGAAGAGAGCACUUGACCAUCUGGCUCUGGUUCCAGUGACUCCAGGACUUAUAUGCCCACAAGCCAAAAGAAGAUCAAGAUCUGAGUGGGAACUGUGGAAAGCAUGUCAUGCGAGCCCCUGCCGCCCUUGAAACUCUGCGUUCCUCCUCCUCAAAGAACAGUGCCUGAAGGUCCUGGCUGUGGCCCUGGCUGGCCAUCUUGCUUCCUGGUCACGGUGGUGGCCACUGUGCUGGUCCUGUCCAAGAUGACCUGUACAUCAUUCCAUGAAUGACACGUGACAACAGCUUCCCAGUGUAAUAAGCACAUUUAACCCAGCACUUGUCAGCCCCACUGUUCUGUUGGAAGUGUUCUAUCUCACUGAUCUUGCCUCUCCUAAAGCAAGGGACAACUCCUGGCACUCCGCUGCAGAGGCCCUUGAAGCCUGUUGGAAUUUUAGUGAAAUGAGAUGCCUGGCUUAAGCCAUGUUGCCUGGCUUCUCAAGUACCAGCGGACAUAUUACUAGCAAGGAAGAAGGCUAGCAGCAAGAAUGGUUAUUGCAUCCUAGAGGCAUUUAGUGGAGGAGAAAACUGCCCUGGUACCGCCAUAGCCCUAAGUGCUGCCCAGAGUUCUGAGCUCUCGAUGAGCACUUGGAACACGUCUGCCUGCAGCCUCCCUACACUUUUUUAUGACUUGUCCUACUUGUCAAGCCCAGCUUGUCCCACUUCUCCACAUGAGUCUUCCAGUGACAUCUUUGUGACCAUCUCCACCCCCUGGGUAAAUGCUCCACGCUGGGAGUCCACAAAACACAGUCUGACUUAGAGAUUCUCUGGCAUGACUCUCUUCCCCACUGUGUACACUGACUGCCUUAGAUGUAGGCCUCUUGUUUGGGGCCCUUCCUGGCCAGACCCUGAAGCAGCCUCUGAGGAGGGUGGUAAGAAUGGUUCCCUAGAGCCCAGUUACAGAGUCUGCCUCCUUUCCAGAUCAUGCUGUAAUGGACUGAGAUCUCAACUCAGCCCACACUCUUUCCUGGCCUACAUAGCCGUCUCAGAAGGGCAAUGUUUCUCGCUGUUAAAGCGGGUGGUCCCUCUUGCUAACCUAGCUGAGCAUCAGGUACUGGUUAGCUGUAAGGGCUGGGAAGUGGGGGGUGUACCCAUUGGCCUUGGUGAUGAAGACAGCCAGGUAUCCAAGUCCCAGCCGGGACUCCUGCUGGGCCAUAAAGGCUUCAAUAUGCUGGCUUCUCCCCAUUGAGGACCUCAGGCCCCAGUUCAUUAUCAGGAUUUUAGAAAUACCAAGAACAUCAAAAGAACAGAAAAGAGGCCCUUAAGGGACUCCUAAUAAGAUAGAAUUUGCAUGUCCUCAUUGGACUAGAACCUGAACUGCUUUAAAAAGCAAAAGGCCCUUGGUACAAUCUGAUGGAUGUGACUGUACAGAGAAGAGGAAACACCUCUGAGGGGAGUGAGAGGCCUUGGUAAGGAAGUUGCAAUCUGGAGCCACCUGGGCAGGUCAGAGCUCUAUAAGCAGGAGAAGCCAAGGGCAUAACACACAGUAGUGCAGGUGUCAGCCAGGAAUCAAGGCUAUGACAGCUGGAGUCCCGGGCCAAGAACUACAGGGGGAAGGAGGAGAAAUGCUUGUUCCCCCAACUCCUAUCUCCUGCCAUGGGGGUGGACUUCUACUAGCUAUGACAUUCCUACCAUCUCUCUGCCUCUUCCCUCUCUCUUUUCUCUCUGCCCCACCCUGGGACACGGUGACUUCCCUGAUGCUAGGGGGAGGGGAUGGUGUGGGUUAAAAAAAAAAAAACAAGCUGCAUAGCUCAGCCCCUUCCUCUCUCCCCUCACUCUCCUGGGGGUGCCUGCUUUCAGAGUCUGUGCAGCUCUUGUCUCCUUCUUACCAUAACCCUACCUGGGCGGCAGCAGCCGCCGCCCACACCCUCCCCUACCCCCAUGGCACUGCCUGCCACAUCCAGGACCAUUUCCGAAUUCUGAGGCUCUGUUGUCGGAGUGUCCCCUCUAAGCUGCAUCCUGCAACCCAGUCCUAUUCCCAGAGAAGCCCAACAUCCCCUCUGGAUCUGCCUGUCUGCAUUACCGUUUGGUUCAAAACCCAGUGCUGGUUACUGGGCCUCUCAGGACACCAGGGAGGCUGGGCUGGGGAGGACUGGUGGGCGAGCUGUCCCCUCCACAUUCUGCCAAUGCCUGGGACGUGAAACUCAUUCCUGUUUCCAUGAGACUCGUAUCCUUAAUGUCCCUUUUGACUUCAGCUAAUUCUGAGUAAGUUUUUGACCCUCGCACCUAAAUUUGGCCCAAGGCAGAAACAGCGGGGAUUGGCUUCUCUGACGGCUGAGUCACUUGUCUUCCUGUCUUCUCCCUCAUAUUCCACUUCUUGUGGGCGUGAAUUAAAGUAGAACCAGGCAGGCGACACUCUCCUGUUGGUGACCAGCGUUCCACAGUAAAAUGGGGUGUGACAGCAGCUGGCAGAGCAGCAGCCUGCCCGGGGCUGUGGGCCACAUCCCCCCUCCACCCCAACCAAGCAGCCUGCCCUGCCCUGGUGCCAGGCGCCAAUCGGCUGAGCAAAAUAGGCUGAACUCAGGCCCUGCGAGGCCAGGACGGCGCCUAUCAAGAACUCCUGUUCCCUCCAGGGCAAGAAGAGGGAGGAGCGAGGCUUGCCCUGAGCGGAGGGGCUUCAAAACUGAGCCCUGGGCAAAAUGGGGCAAGUUGGUCACCCUAGAGGGAGCUUAGGUUUAAGGAAAAGAAUCUGGGACCUUCUAGCUUUGACUCCAGUCUAACAUAACUCUCUGAUUGUCCCUUUAGUAAAAUAGAAAUAAUGUCAGUCUUGAAAGAAUGUCAUGAGGCUUUCAUGAGGACACAUGGAAAUGGCAGACAUUUGUCUUGCUGGAAGGUUCUCCCGUUUCCCCGCCCCUAUUCCAGGUAGGUUGCUGUCCUCAGUACCUGAGGUUUUAUGUGGAAUCACCAUUCUCCUUCCCAUGAUUGUAAGUCAGAUUAUAAGCAGCAUUUGAGUAGAUGGAAAUGUGAUUAGGUCUAUGUCCCUCAUCCCAACAUUCUUUAUGCCAGCUUUCAUUCCCACAGCUCCAGCUGGAGACAUGCACCCACAACUUAGCAGUGCCUUGGGGUGUCCUGUCUACUGCAGGACGUCUUCAGUGCCCAUAACGUUCUUCUCCAAAUUAGGUUUCUGAGCCUUUGCAUAUUACAUCACAGGGCUGGGCCCAUGGGACUGCAAUCCGGGAGGAUGGUCCUAGGCACAAAAUUGAAUCUUGAGAUAGGUCUAAGGUUUGCCAUCAGGAUUAAUGAAAAUAAGUGUACACCGGGGCAUGCUUCACUAACUGGAAGUCACUAUUAUUAAACUGAGAACCGGAAGGGCUAGAUCUGGUCAUAAUUCUGUUAACCAACUGCAUAACCUUUAAGCCGGAACCUUUACCUGUAAAAUAAAGGAGUAGAUGAUUUCUCCAGUUCCUUCCCGCUCAAGUGUCCUAUGACUGAUUAAAAUUAUGUGUCCAUUAAGCAGCUCAAAAGGAAUUAUGUCUGGCUAUCUGAAAGCUCACAGCCAGCCAAGGAGGAAGUGCACUAAAGGCGAGGCCCGGCUGCUCCCCAGCCCAGCACUGCUCGCUGCUGUGUUAAUUGACAAUGAUGGAACAAAGCACAUUUUAUGAGAGUUCAUGAGUAGGAAGUCCAAGGAGCCUAUACAUUAGUCACGUCUGAAAAUCUUCCUUGCUGGUCCUGCAAGCCAGAGGAGCUGGCCACUGCCACUUACCCAGAUGAAGGACAUGUCGAUCCAGAAAAGGGAACAGUUAGCCAACAUUGCUUUAUUUGCUCAAUCGUAAUAACUUUUUCCAGGGAGAAAACCCACGUAAAACUAUUGGAGACAGAAUUCUGGAUCAAGUCAGGCCACAACAUAAAAUUACAUGGUAACAAUGGUCUCCAAUUUGAGAGAAGCAGCAUAAUGCACCCCAACCUCCCACAAAAACCUCAAACCCUUGACUCGGGAAAACAAGAAGGUCAUCUUCCAUCGGCCCUUUCCUCCACUGUCCUUCUCCCCAGACUCCCUUGUGCUUGUAUAGGGCAGGGAGGGGUAAGGAAAACAGAUCAGUUGCCCUGGGACGUCAAUCACCCUGUUGAAACUGGUCUGAGUGCCAGACAGACAACCAACAUGGCUCCUGCCUUCAGGGUCCACAUCUUGAAGAGGGAGAGGAACACAGGAAAUGGAAAAGCACCCUGGAAUUAGAUGCUGGGCCAGAUGAACUGGAAGUAGUUCUUAAACUUGAGUGUGCCUCAGACUCCCCAGGGGCCUUGUUAAAACACAGAUGGCUAGACCCUACCCCCAGGGAGCUAGAUUCACUUGGCUUGGGGUAGGGCUGAUAUUUUGCAUUUCUAACAUGGUCCUAGGUGCUGCUGGUCCAUAGACCAUGUGCUGAGAACCAGUACUACAGACAGUGCUCCCCAUACUUUAGUGUGCGUAUGAACCGCCUGGGGGCCUGGGUAAAGUGUGAGCUCUGAUUCAGCAGGUCUGGUACAGGGCUAGGGAUCUGCAUUUCUAACAAGCUCCCAGGUGAUGCCAAUGCUGCCGGUCUGUGGUCCCCAUUCAGUAGCAAGGGUGCUCCAUCUAGACCAGAGUGUGAUGGAAGUUAGAGAAUGAGAUGAGUUUGGGUUGAUAUUGGCAGGGAAGGUUUAAUGGUAGUUACUGGGACUUGGGCUGGUCCCAGAAGAAUGAGCAGGAUUUAAAUAAAUGAAAAGGCUGUAUUCUGGGAGAGAAAUUUGAACACAGACAGGGCGGUGGGAUUGAGAAUAGCAAGGGUAGAGGAGUGGGCACUGGCCAUUGUCACAGAUGAGUGACACACCGAGGCUUGGGGCCCUGCAUGCAGGCGCCUUGCUCCAUCUGCCUCCACACCACCCUCCCCAAGCAAGAAGCUGGUGCAGUUCCAGUAAGUCUACUGGCAGCCAGUCUUCAUAAUGGAAAUAAUUAUUGUUCUGUGAGUCCCAGACUGACAGCUCCCAAUCCUGCCUGCUCAGCCAACUGGGUUAUUUUUUCACCUGGCUUGUUAGCAAUGGUUUGUUGUUUGGCAGCAUGAAGUGACUCCCACUUUUCCUUUCCAAUCUCAAGUCAGAGAAACCUCAGUUCUCCGAGAGUUGAAUGUCUCGAAGCCACACGGGGGUGGUUAUGGAUUUCUCAGCAGGCAGCCAGGGCAACCAGCAUGUUCUAUAUGGUGCUCAGUCAUGGGUUCCUCUCCUGAUCCAGUGAGGGUCAUGAUCAGAUAAAGGAGUAAUAGCCCCUUCUUUCCCACACCCACCCCCCAACCUUGGAAGUCUUCCGUUUUCAGGUUUGUUCUAACAAAAGGCUCACCUUUUCUUCAAUAGAGCUGCAUGUGUAGGUGCAGAAACAUGCGAGCUCAUGUGCAAAAGGCCUGUCAUUUGAAAAUGAAACUACUAUUUAUUGGGUUUCCCAGCAGUGCUGUAACGAGGCACUACAAACUGAGUGGCUUAUAACAACAGAAAUUUAUUUUCUCACAGUCCUGGAGACUGGGGAGUCCAAAAUCAAGGUGUUGGCAAGGGCAUGCUCCCUCUGAAGCCUCUAGGGCAUGGACCUCACCCCUGGGGAGCUGGAAACCCUUCCUUGCUUUUUCCAGUUUCGGGUAUCCCUGGGUGUUCCUUGGCUUGUGGCAGAACCACUCCAGUCUCCACCUCUGUCUUCACAAGCCGUUCUCCCCAGUGUCUGUGUCCAAAUUUCCUUUUCCUUGUAAGGACAUCAGUCACACAAGGUAUCUGUAAGGACCCACCCUACUCCACCUGCAUCUUCUUAACUAAUUAGAUCUGUCAUAACUUUAUUCCCAAAUAAGGUCACAUUCUGAGGUACUGGUAGUUAAAACUCCAACAUAUCUUUUUGGGGGGCCCAAUUCAACUCCUAACAGGUAACUUUAUAGUUUAUAACAUUAUAUUACCUGCUGAAUUUGACCUUGUCUUUUAGAGGGGCUUUUUCCUCUAAACUAGAAUAGUGACCUGUUUUAAAUAAAAUCGAUGCUGAACUAUAAAUCAGGCCCUAUUCUCAAGGUCAGCUGAGAAGGGCUCAAACACUUAUCCACCCCAUACCUAUUAGCCAGUGAUGAAUCUGUAAGCUCUAAAUAGCAAGUUACUGAGCAGAUUAUGAUAAUGAAUUCACUUAUCCAUUCAACACAUGUAAGGCCCUUCUGCAUGCCAGGCCGUGGUGCUGAGGACACAACAGUAAACAAAAGAGACAAAAGUCCCUGCCCUCUCAGAGCUUGCCUUCCAGUGUGGGAAAGACAAAAUAAAUAAGAACAUGGUUUGGGUAAACAGAAAAAAGAUGAGUAUGAUGAGGAUUUGCUAUUUUAAAGAGAGCGGUCAGAGAAGGGCCAGGAUAAGGCCAUGGGGUAAGGCAGGGAGAAAACAGCACAUGUAAGUUCCUCAACGUGAGUCUUUGUGAAGACUCUGCUUCUCACUGAGAGAAGCCAUGGCACACUCCCAAACCUUCACUCUGGUGGCUGUGUUGAAACUGACUUUGGAGGUAAAACUGACAAAGCAGGAUACUUGCAAUACAGAGGGGCUGAUGUCUUGGCUUUGGGUGGUAGCGGAUGAGAUGAAAAUUGCUGGAAUCGGGAUCUGUUUCAAGGUAGGAACCCACAGUGUUUGCCGCUGGGGAGCACUGGGACCAAGUCUGGCAUGAGAGGCGGGACAGUACAGCUGCCAUUAGCUGUGCUGGGGGAGGACCAGGAACUCCGUUUGGGAUGCUUUAAGUUUGCACAACAUCAACUCUGUGAUCUUAAAAAGAGCUUUCCAAUAAAGUGGAAAUAGGUUCAAAUAACGUGGUGCCAAAAGAAUACAUUCAAAGGUAUUCUUGGUACACAGGAGUCAAAAUUGCCUAGAGGGAAAAGAGGCACUCAGGUGGUGAACACAACUAAUAGUAAUUUUUUCAAGAGGUGACUAGCAGCCAUAGGAAAGGGAGCCUUUUAACCCUUUGUUUCUAGUUAUUCUGGCUAAAAAUGGUUAGCUGUAGAGAAAAAUAUGAAAGGCGGGGGGUCUUUUUAUUUAUACCUCCUGUACUGUUUUAAUUUUUAUUACCAUAGCCAUGUAUUAAUUGUAUAUCAAGAAAUUGGCAAGCACUUUUCAUGCGGCUUUAAAAAUUAUGUGUCAAAGCAGAAUAAGGUAGACUUCUAAGUUCUUACACAAAAGAAUGUUCAAAAUAAUAAGUGAUUUAAGUUACCAAAUAAUAUGUAUACCAUAAUUCUGCGCAUGUAUCUGCAUACCUGUGCCCAUGUAUUUGUACAAAGAAAAAGGCCUAGAAGGAUAGACAGGAACUGCUUUUUACCUUAUAUUCUGCAGGUUUGCCACUUUUAAAAGGAGUACUUUUUGCAUGUGUUUAAAUUGAAUGUGAUGGCCUUCCCUCUACUUCGCUUCAGCCAGAGCUCAAGCCUCCACACACUCCAAACAAGAAUUGUUGAAUAGUUUAAAGAAAUAGGCGGGCUGGGCACGGUAGCUCACGCCUGUAAUCCCAGCACUUUGGAAGGACGAGGCAGGCAGAUCAUGAGGUCAGGAGUUUGAGACCAGCCUGACCAACGUGGUGAAACCCGGUAUCUACUAAAAAUACAAAAAUGAGUUGGGCUUGGUGGCACAUGCCUGUAAUCCCAGCUACUCAGGAGGCUGAGGCAGGAGAAUCCCUUGAAACCCAGGAGGUGGAGGUUGCAGUGAGCUGAGAUCACGCCACUGCACUCUAGCCUGGGCAACAGAGCGAGACUCUGUCUCAAAAAAAAAAAAUAAAUAAGCAACAGAAAAAAAAACUGAAGCUUUUCAGUCCCCCUUGGCUCUUAUUCCUGCUAGAAAUAAUGUGACUAUGUAAUAAUAAAUUCUACUUAAGGGUUGUAUCAGUCUGUUUUCACACUGCUAUAAGGAACUGCCCCAGUCUGGGUAAUUUAUAAAGGAAACAGGUUUAAUUGACUCACAGUUCAGCAUGGGUGGGAAGGCCACAGGAAACUUGCAAUCACGGCAAAAGGGGAAGCAAGGCACCUUCCUCACAAGGCAGUAGGAAGAAUGACAGAAGGAGGAACUUGCCAAACCCUUAAAAACCAUCAGAUCUCGUGAGAAUUCACUCACUAUCACGAGAACAGCAUCGGGGAAACAGCUCCAUGAUUCAAUUACCUCCACCUGGUCUCUCCCUUGACAUGUGGGGAUUAUGGGGAUUACAAUUCAAGAUGAGAUUUUGGGUGGGGACACAGCCAAACCAUACCAAGGGUUUUUUGUUGUUUCUUCAGUAGUAGGGCCAAAAUGUUUUUUGAAGUUAAGCACGAUUCUUAUAAGAAUAUAGAAUGAAAAUGUGAAAAAUGUUUAACUCAUUAAUAGAGAACCGCCAGAGUGGUAAAAGAGCAUUAGAAUAACUGAGUACUUAUGGUCCAUGAAGAAAGAAUUUGGGAAUAAAGUUGCUAGGUUAAAUACAAAACUGGUUAACGUUCUUCAGGGCAAUACAGCCAAAACUUUUGGGGUUAUCUUUUCUACCAGAGUUCAUUUGCAUCUCCUCUGGACAAAAAUCUGCAAGUUACAUGCAACCUCCCAGAGUCUGGGCCCUAAUCAAGAGUAAAUAGAAAAUCAAAGAAAGGCACACACAUGGCUCCCCAAAAGAAUUAAACAGUCGUUGAGUGGGUCUGCUGGUAUGAUAUUGAAAUGCCAUGCAAAUCCUUUUGCCUUAUUUCUACGUAUUGGAUGCUUUUUUUGACAUAAGAUAAAAAUUUACAUAUUGGCAGCUGUAGCUAUCUAGUUUCCAAAUGGAGUUUGCUCUUAAAAUUAAUCUGCUUUUCACCAUCUUUUGUGUCUGUUUUUAAUAAGAAAAAUGACCACCAAGCAAUGUGGGCAUUGCAAUAACAUUCCAUUAUUUAAAAACAUACUUUAAUAUUAUUCUGAUACUCACUUUGCUGGGUACUAAAACAUUUUAUGAGCAAUUUAAAUUUUUUAUCAGGACCAAAAAAAAAAAAAAAAGUCCACAUAUCUGCUGUGAGUUGAUGCCAACAGCAAAAACAUUGAUACUCAUUGCAGUUUCAAAUAUUUAUAUGGAUUUUGGACACAACCUUGCACAAGUUACUCAAUUUCUUAGCUUCAUCCUCUAUGCAGAAUAAGACCUUCACUAAACUGCUAUAUUUAUGAUUUUGUGAUGACACAUAUAAACCUGGGAUUACACUGUUGUGUUCCUAUUUUACUUUUAUAUCCACAUUCAUAAUUUCAGUUUCGGGGCUUCCUUACAGGUUGCUUGUUUUAUAAUUUGUCUUGCUACAUGACGUGUUCUUUUACCUUCUUGUGAUUUUAAAAAGGAUAAACUAUGUGUUUUAAUUGUAUCAAUUGCUUUGUUUUUUCAAAAACAGAAAUUAGACUAUACUCAUCCUUCUUUCCUUUCUGUAGAGUGAAAUGGUGUCAUUUGAAGUCCCUUAACAUUAGAUUUGAAAUUUAACAAAUCUCACUCUCCCUCUUUUACCAACUGCCAUUUUAAAUUAUGGGCAUUCUGUUCUCACAAUUUACUGUCACAUUUUUUAGAAACACAGAAAACACCAAAAUGUGAAUUUAUAUAGAAAUUGUUAAAAUUACACACCUAGCGUAAAUAGCAAAUAUUCAGUCAACUUUUCACUAUGCUCUUGAAAAGCUAUUACACAUUUGUCAACAAUUUGUUUAGCGUAGCAAUAUGUUAACCUAAACACACUAAAUUCAGCAUCCAUUUCAGGCAGAGAUGAGCCGUCUGAUUUACUCAACACAUUUCUAGUUAGAGAGCAUCACAUGAGACAAAGUGGAAUCGUGCCACAUAUUUGAAUGAAGCCAGAAGCAGCACUUUUUAGGACUCUUAGAUCUGUUUUGUGCAUGAGCUGUUGUUUUUGAAACACUCUCAUGUUUAGUCAUUAAUUUGCAUAAAAUUUUUUCUGUGUUGUAACUUUAAGUGCAGUUUGCAUGCAAGACCAGUAUACCCAAAAACCUUGAAAAAAUGGUGCAGCAACUCUGAAUAUACCUUCAAACCAUUGAACUGUACACUUUAAAUGGGUAAACUAUAUGAUAUAUGAAUUAUUCUCAAUAAAACAAAAAACUAGCACAGUAAACAUUCAUGCUCAGCCUAGACAAUGUGGUGAAACCCUAUCUCUACAAAAUAUACAAAAAUUAGCUGGGCAUGAUGGCGCAUGCCUAUAGUCCAAGCUACUUAGGAGGCUGAGGUGGGAGGAUCACCUGAGCCCAGGGAGGUCAAGGCUGCAGUGAGCUGUCAUCAAGCUACUGCAAUCCAGCCUGGGCAACAGAGUGAGACCCUGUCUCAAAAAAGAAAAAAAAAAAACAUGCUAUUACGGUUUAUAUACAAACUGUUUACUUCUGAGUUAAAUUUUUAAGGGGGCUAGACUUAGCAGAAAGGGAGACAUUGAGACAAGAAUCAGUGUAAACGCUGAGUGGUAGGUGGGGUUGAAAUAUAUCAUGCCCACGGAGAAAGAUUUAAGACCUACAAAAUGACAGGGAGCCAAGGCUACAUUUAGGAUUCAGAGGGUAGAGAAGCCAGUGAAAAACAGAAAACCAAAAAAGACAGAGCAAAAGAGCAAAUGACAGAGCAAAAGAGCAAAUAGAUAAUGACUAAAGACUAACUUGGAUAUUUGCUUUGCUAUCAUAAAGUAAAGGGUUUUAUUCAGUUCCAAAUUUCAGAAAAAAACAAAUAGCUCCACACUUUUCAACUACUGUUAGGAGUAAUAUUCUAAACUCAAAAGUAACUUAAAUCCAUUUUAUCCUAUCUUACCUCACUUUGUGAAAGAGAAACCUUAUAACAAACCACAAUUCUUUUGUUUUUACAAAGGAAAAAAUUAGAAAACAUAAGUUACUUUUCUAGUAGAAAAAGGAAAUAACGAAUACUGAAAUGUGGGAAAUAUGAACGGUAAUGAAUAUAUUUUAAGGUAAAUAUCCAAGGUAUUAUUUGGUCAAUCAGAAACUUAGAAUCUGAAUAAUGCCUAAAGUUUCAACGCUAAACAAGGUAAAUGAAUUAUUCUUUAUUUCCAGUAACAAGACAAGAGAAAAUGAGUGCCUGGGUCUACAAUCAGCAACUGCUGAUUCUGAACUUAAGUGACUUUUUUUUUUUUUUUUCUGAUAAAGGAUGAAGAAAUUUUGAAUAUAAUCUAACAAACCACAUGAAAAUGUUAAACAAUUUUUCCUUUUCAUAUUCCAUCUGAUCCCAGUCAAGAGUAAAGAGAAUAUGAGUCAAGAGAAAAUAAAAUUAAACAUUAAGCAUUUGCUUCUCUGGGUGGAAUGGCUUAAAGCUUUCCCUCCCAAGGUCUAGGAAACUUGCUUUUUUAAAAAAAAAGUUUUCCUAAGGAUUUUUCUACAUUUUAAUGCAAUUUUAGAAAUUUUUUUAGAUUUCCAACAAAUAUAAGAUAAACCGUUUUGGAAAGUAUGAAUAAUUCCAGAAACAGAGACUUUGUUUCUAGGCCAUGAAACUUAAUUUCCUCUUAAUAUUCACUUACCUACAGCCCAAACUCUCCAUGUAUUUUGCCAGAUAUUACUUAUGAGCUACAAACAGGGCAAUUACUUUUUCUGCUUCAUGAGAUUACUCAUACACACACAAAAAAAGCAUUUUAAGGCUGCUGCUGCUGAUUGCAUCUGAGGCCACAGAAGUUACCCUGCGCCUUCCUCUGAAGACACAAAGCAAACUUUCCUUUCUCCUGAUUCGGGUAAUUUCCACCACAGAACAGCUUUUCCAUAGCAGUAAUAAACUAGUUUGGGAAUCUUUGGAAGCCAAACAACAAUAAAAUACAAAAAAUGUAGAUGGCAUAUGGCUGGUGUUAGUCUGUUUUCCCUUCAAGUUCUUCCCGGUUUUUGAUAGCUUCAUAAGGGCCUAAUUGUUGGCAGCACCAAAAUAAAAGAUUUUUAAACUUUAUACUUACUAAGUGCUUUUUGUCAUUUCCUCACCUCUCUAUACAUUCCUACCUGAUCACCAAAUUAUUAUGGAGAUUUGAACAGUGCUUGGC
rnacentral:lncRNA from 1 species